GAAAUCUCUUGCUGGUGCACAUCUAUGUUCUUCUUUCAUGUCAGUGUUUUGUUUGUUUUUAUAUCUGUUAGUACCUUCAUGUAAGUGAAAGCAGAAUUUUGCUUAGCUUUGUUGUCUUCAUUUUUGUGUGAUGCACAAACACUGAUGCUCUCAGGCACAGCAGUUCUGUUAUCUGCUACAGUGACAGCAUGACCCAGUGGCUGCUUUUUCAAACUUGAAACUAAUCAAGCAAUUUACUUUUUGCAGAUAGCAGUACUUGUAGGAAAUUGUUUGAAGAUAACAUAUUUUUUUCCUAUAGUAUUUCUUUUCAUGGAAAAGAGGAGAUAUUUUGAUUUCACUAGUGUUUUCUGAAUGAGCUGGUCAGAAGAGUUCUACUUAACUGGAAUUCUGCGACUAAACCAAAUGGUCGGCCAUGCAAAGGUUCACCAUCACAAUGGUCCUGAAGCCCGGACAGCCCAACUUUUGCUGUGUAGUCAUUGGACAUGGCGGAGGCACAUCAUGAAUAACCCAGGAAUUGGGUGCAGUGCAAGGGCAUCAGCAUGAAGCCUAGGUCCCACCGAAGUCAUAAACCAUAUUUAAAUAAACUCAAGGGCCUCAGCAUGAUGUCUGCCAUAAGACUGUUUUGGCACAUUACUUCAUUUUAGGGCUUUCAUCUUUUAGUCAUCAUUGCUAUCAUUAUCAUUGUUAAUCCAUCAGUUAUUCAGCCACUGCAACAGAUCUUUUAACAUCUACUACACAAUCAGCAUGAAAGCUGAGACACCAAGAUUCCAGUUGUUUUCAAGCAAAGGCAUUUAGAUUUGUAAAUGUGUAUCUGAGAUGUCAAAAUGCAAUGACCAUUAGACACGUAAAGGAUUAAUUUUGUUGGAACUGUGGAAUUUAAUGCACAAAUAUGCACAAAUUAAGAGAUAUCAACCCACUUGAGUUGUUCAGUGUUAUUCAGGAUGUUUGUAGCCAAGCUAAAUGUGAGUGUGAAUCUCUCAACUUUCACUCCUCUAGUUUAUUUACUAUAAUUCCCCCUUUCUGUGUAGAUGUUUUCUAAAUAGAUUUUUCUCCCAGUUGUUUUCAGAAUGACAUCAUUGCACCCCUUCCUGCAUUUUGCUAAUUAGUCAGCAUUUUCUCUGUAAGUCUUUCGCUGUUCAUUCAUGUCAUUGCAAUCCUGUUAUCUGAGAUGCAUGUUGAACCACACGAUGAGAAUGGACUUUGCUGUUCUGACAUUGCUUUAUUUUUAUUUUUUUGGCUCUAAGCAGUCUAUAUUUAAAAAUAUAUGGCUGUAGCUAGAGGAAAAGCAACUGUUUUGGUAUAAUGGUAAUAAUAAUAAUAAAGUGGAAAAAUAGAUCGGGCUCUCUCCA
rnacentral:lncRNA from 1 species